rnacentral:rRNA from 1 species
CAGUGCCGCGGUAAUACAGAGGGUGCAAGCGUUAAUCGGAAUUACUGGGCGUAAAGCGCGCGUAGGUGGUUUGUUAAGUUGGAUGUGAAAGCCCCGGGCUCAACCUGGGAACUGCAUCCAAAACUGGCAAGCUAGAGUACGGUAGAGGGUGGUGGAAUUUCCUGUGUAGCGGUGAAAUGCGUAGAUAUAGGAAGGAACACCAGUGGCGAAGGCGACCACCUGGACUGAUACUGACACUGAGGUGCGAAAGCGUGGGGAGCAAACAGGAUUAGAUACCCCAGUAGUCCCUGUCUCUUAUACA